GCAGGGAACGAAGGAACAGAUGGUGGCCGCAUUCCCACUCCGGGUGAGGAAGGCUUGUGUCCAACAUGAGUAUGCCAGAUUUCCUUUAGUUUUUUGGGGUUUUAAAAAAUAAAUUGUUGAAGGGAAACACACAUGCAGAAAGAGCAUAAGUUAUAAUAUUACAGUUCAAAGAAUCAUCACAAAGUGAGCACUGCCCUAGAGUUAAAAAAACUGAAUAUCACAGAACCCCAGGGACCCUCAGACCCCUCCUGGCCAUGAGCCCCUCUCCAAGGGAACCACUGUCCUGCCUUCUAAUGACAUGAUGAGAAGACUAAGGCACAGAGAGCUUAAGCAACUUGCCCAUGGUUACCUACACUGCCAAUUUAAAUAACCCCUCGUCAAAAUGCACAACUUUCAGCAGCCUUGACCCUUUGCAGUGCCACUUGAUUAUACCAGAAGGUACUAUAUCAGUAGUAGCCGAUAAAAUGUCUGAAGAAUCUGUGAACCCAGAAAAGCCACGGGUACCCCAUUGGCAGUGGUAACAAUAAACUUUACAUUAGUG